rnacentral:lncRNA from 1 species
AAUACGAUCACGGAGGAUGAUACAUUUCUCGCUAUCAUGGCCGUUAUGCUCAUGGUAGCAACAAAACAUGCCCGCGUUAUUCGGAGGCGUGUAAUCUGGGUGCCUCGGCUUUGGCUUUGGUAUCAGGUGAGCUAUGCUGGGGUAAAUGGCCGCGCAUGUGGCAUUCAAGGGCGUGUAUGUCUUAUACCUUGGGGUAGGGGGUAUCUUGACGCGGGUUUGACCCACUGCAUUGACUGCCUGGGGGCGAGCGUUAUUGUGGC